AGAGUUUGAUCAUGGCUCAGGACGUACGCUGGCGGCGUGCUUAACACAUGCAAGUCAAGGGGGCCCAGCAAUGGGCAACCGGCGAACGGGUGCGUAACACGUGAGCAACCUACCGAACUGUGGGGGAUAGCCGGCCUAACGGCCGAGUAAUACCGCAUACGCUUUCAUUGAGGCAUUUCAGUGAAAGGAAACCUACGGGACAGAUCGAGGGGCUCGCGGCCUAUCAGCUAGUUGGCGAGGUAACGGCUCACCAAGGCGACGACGGGUAGCUGGUCUGAGAGGAUGGCCAGCCACAUUGGGACUGAGAUACGGCCCAGACUCCUACGGGAGGCAGCAGUGGGGAAUCUUGCGCAAUGGCCUAACGGCUGACGCAGCGACGCCGCGUGUGGGAUGAAGCUCCUCGGAGUGUAAACCACUGUUGCCCGGGACGAACAGCUCGAAUUCUCGAGCCUGACGGUACCGGGUGAGGAAGCACCGGCUAACUCCGUGCCAGCAGCCGCGGUAAUACGGGGGGUGCGAGCGUUGUCCGGAAUCACUGGGCGUAAAGGGCGCGUAGGUGGUUUGAUAAGGGUGUGGUGAAAGUCCGGGGCUCAACCCCGGAUCUGCCGUGCCGACUGUCAAACUCGAGGGCUGUAGAGGCAGACGGAAUUCCGGGUGUAGCGGUGGAAUGCGUAGAGAUCCGGAGGAAGACCGGUGGCGAAGGCGGUCUGCUGGGCAGUUUCUGACACUGAUGCGCGACAGCGUGGGGAGCAAACAGGAUUAGAUACCCUAGUAGUCC
rnacentral:rRNA from 1 species